rnacentral:rRNA from 1 species
GGAGAAAAGCAGGGGAUCGCAAGACCUUGCGCUAAAGGAGCGGCCGAUGUCUGAUUAGCUAGUUGGUGGGGUAAAGGCUUACCAAGGCAACGAUCAGUAGUUGGUCUGAGAGGACGGCCAACCACACUGGGACUGAGACACGGCCCAGACUCCUACGGGAGGCAGCAGUGGGGAAUUUUGGACAAUGGGCGAAAGCCUGAUCCAGCCAUGCCGCGUGAGUGAAGAAGGCCUUCGGGUUGUAAAGCUCUUUUAGUCGGAAAGAAAGAGUUGCAAUGAAUAAUUGUGAUUUAUGACGGUACCGACAGAAAAAGCACCGGCUAACUACGUGCCAGCAGCCGCGGUAAUACGUAGGGUGCGAGCGUUAAUCGGAAUUACUGGGCGUAAAGGGUGCGCAGGCGGUCUUGCAAGUCAGAUGUGAAAGCCCCGGGCUUAACCUGGGAAUUGCGUUUGAAACUACAAAGCUAG